GCAACAUUAAAGGCAACCGCCAUUAGAUUGCUUUUUGUCGGCUGUCAGACAAUUUGUCAAAUAGCCGUGGUCGUAGAUUGCUUACUGAAUUGCCAAUACCAAAACCACCUCAACCCUCACACCACCAUGGCUGCCAAACUACAGGAGUAUAAAGACACAAUUGAACGAAGCCUGAACGACAAAAGCAAACCAUGGACCAAAUAUUUUGAAAAAGCCGAACAGAAAACCGGCGUGAGCCGAGUAUACCUGUUCGUCGGGUUGGUCGCGUUCACCGGUUUAUAUUUAGUGUUCGGUUUCGGUGCGGAACUGAUAUGCAACUCGAUCGGCUUCGUGUACCCGGCGUACAUGUCGAUGAAGGCCCUAGAGUCGCCGCAGAAGGAUGACGACACCAAGUGGCUCACGUACUGGGUGGUGUACGCGUGUUUCUCCGUGGUGGAAUACUUUUCAGACUUCAUCGUCGGCUGGUUCCCACUCUAUUGGCUGAUAAAGUGCAUUUUCAUCAUCUGGUGCUACCUGCCGACGGAGUUCAACGGUUCACUGAUCAUCUACAACCGCAUUAUCCGCCCGUACUAUCAGAAACAUCACAACCGCAUCGAUGAUAUCGCCAACUCAGGUCUGAAAGACAUUGUGAAGGAUAUUAAUAAGCAAAUUAAUACCACGGUAAAGAGUUUUAAUAAAACACUUAAGGAGCUGCAUAAAGAUUAGUUUGACACAUUUGCAGGUAAACAAUUGUAGAGCUGUACAAUUCAUGUAUACAAAUCUUCUCGCCUGGUAGCGGAUGCAGUUCGGAAGACCAACUAAGCCUCCACUAUCUAUCAAAGUUGGGGAGUGAAAGUACAAAAAUCUUUCUGCACUCGCUUAUGUAAGAGCUUUGCGGCACUCAUUGGUCUAAAUAUAAAAAUGUAUUACGGCGGUUGUUCACUGAUGCAAGUUAUCAUUCAAUAGCCUGUUUAACUGUGGACAAACCAAGGGAUAAGGAAUUUAAUUAUUGACCGUUGAACAUUUGUAUUACUUGAUGCAUAUUGUCUAUAUUGCAUUUAAAUUUUAAAAGCAUUAUGGCCAUGGUAUUUGAUAAAUUGACCGAUGGUCAAAAUUAUAUUGCAUUUUCUUUGGUCUAUUUGACACACCGCAUCCACUGGUUGAAUGGUUAGUGACCAUUAAAAUCAUAGCCUGUAGAAAGCAUUAGGUGACAAAAUCAUUCAGUGUUACAUAUUUUAUCAGUAAAUGACUAGAACUUGCACUUGUCUGUUUUGUUUGGACCUUGGACGUGCCGGUUAAAUCCAUCUGUCCCUGUCUAAUGUUAAUUGUCAAGUUAUUAGAAAGAGACAGAUGGAUUACACUCUAGUACACUUUAUUUAAACCUAUGUUUACAUUUUCUUGUAUUAUUAGCAUAAGCUUGUUUUGGAAAAUCGUGACACAUAUAAGUUUAUUGUUUUUUUUUUAAAUGAAAUUGUUAGUUAAAUCAUACUUUACUGGGUUAUUUUCUGAGGGAUUGGAAGCUUUAGAAUAAGUUGUCUUGGUAUUUUAACUUCCCUAUUUAAGAUCUCCCACACUGAACAAUGAAUUUCUUCCGUUUAAGAUUUUUUUUAAGUAUUUGCUCAAAAAUAGUUAUUAUAUUUCUUAAAAUAGGAAUUCCCCUUUGUUAUAUUUUUGAUUGUUAGUUUUAUGUGUUGCCUACAUACACAGUUUUCGAGUGUUGCCAUGUACUUUCCUUUAUAUAAAAAUUUUAUGUGUUUGAAAAGUUUUUAGUCAAUAGUAUAUAAUAGAAACCCCACGAUUACCUUAAUCAUGUUUGAGAAUUUUAGCUUGUGAUGUAAAUUCAUGUUGUGCCUUUGAUAUUUGGCUGCCGCGUUUUUGUAUUCACCGAAGGAUUUGUUAUACUUGUCAUUUUUUCACAUAAUAAAUGGAAUUCAUUGUAAAAA